CCUAAUGAUGAUGUCACUGAGACAUGCCAUGUCCCACCUGCUAAACAGAUUUCCCUACAUUGACCAGAUUUGGAGUGCCCUUUCCAGGAAAUAUUUGAAGUGGAAUACUAUACAGCUAUGAAAAAUAAGGACAUUGUGAAGUUGUGGUCAACUAGAUGGAACGAGUUGAGAAAAUUGAAACUCCUCUGGGUGAGAUCAUUGAAGACCUUGAGAAAAAGGAACACUGGGCAUGGAUCACUGAAGAAACAGAUAUCCACAGAAAAUACAAGAGACAUGACUGAGGAAGAGACAGCUGUGUCUACUGGACUAUGGAUCAAUGGUUAGAGCCCCUAAAAGGGGAGAUAUAUAUUAACAGAGUAUUUGAUCCACAAAUACUGUAGAGGAAAGCUUGUUGGCAUUUCAGAAACCAAUGAGCCUAUAAAGAAAACACACAAUCUGUUUAUUAUAAUUAUAAUCUAUAAACGUG